CACCUUUGACAUGUACGGAAUUCGCCAGAGAUGGCUUAGUGCUCGAAAGAGAGCCGUAACACAGGUGCUGCAUGGCUGUCGUCAGCUCGUGUCGUGAGAUGUUGGGUUAAGUCCCGCAACGAGCGCAACCCUUGUCAUUAGUUGCUACAUUCAGUUGGGCACUCUAAUGAGACUGCCGGUGACAAACCGGAGGAAGGUGGGGAUGACGUCAAGUCCUCAUGG
rnacentral:rRNA from 1 species